GGGCAUGUAGCGCAGUUGGUAGCGCGCUCGCUUAGCAGCAGCAACCACAAGUUGUUCAUGUGGUGCGAGAGGUCCUGGAUUCAAAUUCCAGCUUGUCCA